rnacentral:rRNA from 1 species
CCUACGGGAGGCAGCAGUGAGGAAUAUUGGUCAAUGGACGAGAGUCUGAACCAGCCAAGUAGCGUGAAGGAUGACUGCCCUAUGGGUUGUAAACUUCUUUUAUAUGGGAAUAAAAUGUUCCACGUGUGGGAUUUUGUAUGUACCAUAUGAAUAACGGUCGGCUAACUCCGUGCCAGCAGCCGCGGUAAUACGGAGGAUCCGAGCGUUAUCCGGAUUUAUUGGGUUUAAAGGGAGCGUAGGUGGAUUGUUAAGUCAGUUGUGAAAGUUUGCGGCUCAACCGUAAAAUUGCAGUUGAAACUGGCAGUCUUGAGUACAGUAGAGGUGGGCGGAAUUCGUGGUGUAGCGGUGAAAUGCUUAGAUAUCACGAAGAACUCCGAUUGCGAAGGCAGUUCACUGGACUGCAACUGACACUGAGGCUCGAAAGUGUGGGUAUCAAACAGGAUUAGAUACCCUUGUAGUC